UAACCAGGUGUGUUGCACUUACCCAACUUUUCGAUAACAGUAGAAAUAUCUGAAUCAAGAACACGACAUGAAAACAAUUGUAAUUUGUUCGCUCUUUCUGGUCUUUGGUAAGAAGCUUUUUAUUCAUAAUAUUCUUUUCAGCAAAUUAUUUAUGGCAUGUGUAAGUGAUGAUCGAUUUUUUUUUUUUUUGAAAAGUAGGAGUGGGGUUCAGAAGUUACAAUGUACAAAGAAAAACUUAUAAACAUACUAGGCUUUGUUAAAAAAAAAAAGGAACUCGCAUGCUUUAACACGACGGGUGCCACAUGUGGAGCAGGAUCUGCUUACCCUUCCGGAGCACCUGAGAUCACCCCUAGUUUUUGGUGGGGUUAGUGUUGUUUAUUCUUUAGUUCUAUGUUGUGUCGUGUGUACUAUUGUUUUUCUGUUUGUCUUUUUCAUUUUUAGCCAUGGCGUUGUCAGUUUGUUUUAGAUUUAUGAGUUUGACUGUCCCUUUGGUAUCUUUCGUCCCUCUUUUAAAAGGGAAAGCAAUAUACCAACAUUUGAACAAGAACUGAAGCUUACAAACAACAAACUCGGCAACGAGUGUUUGCGUUUUCCAGUCGCAUUCUUCGUAUAACGUGUUAUUCCAAGUUUUUUGAAACCCAUCAACAUAUUUUAAACAUGAUUACAUAAGUUCAACUCAUGAUUUUCUAUACAGAUUUUGACUUCGACUGAUUAAAAAGAAGCUACUGAACCGGUAAAUUUGGAUUCAUCCAUUCGAAAGUAAUUUUGGCGCCAUGACGAUGGGUUGACUGUUACGGAAUAUAAUUAUAUCUCAAAUGAGGAUAUAUUCCAAUUGUCCUAACCAUUACCAUCUAUGGUAAUCCGUUCUCGUCAAAACUAUGUUUAAACCAUUUUUCGAAAAAUGUACACACUGAGAAUUACAACAAAGCACACUGAGAUUUAAAAACUUCAAAACACACACUGAGAAUUAAAAAUUACACACUGAGAUUUCAUAAAGACGCACUGAGAUUACAAAAAUGAAAAACACACACUUAGAAUUUAAAAUUACACACUGAGAAUUGAAAAUUACACACUGAGAGUUCAAAAAGACACACUGAGAAUAAAUAAACUGAAAACACACACUGAGAAUUUGAAAUUACACACUGAGGUUCAAGCUUAAAACAACUAUGGGACAGAAGUCGUUAGUCCUUCGAUUUUGUUCAAAUUAUUUAUAAAAAACAACACUUUAGAAAUACAAGAACAAGAAAAAUACCCACUAACUCUUAUUUAAGAAUUGAAUGCUUCUUUUUGUAUUAAAAAUGUGCGCACGGUCAACGCUUUUACAACCCUAUGAAGUUACAAAAAGAAGCAUUCAAUACUUAUAAUUACAUUUUUUUAGCAAUGAUCAUGAAAACACGAAUUUUAUUAUUAUUUUAUUUAAUUCACCUGUGCACUUUAUUGUGGGACCACGUGUUAUCAUGAAUGAAAAGUUUUAUUGAGCAAUGCAAUUGCUUACGGAAUAACACGUGAUGUGCAGUUAGCCAAUCAGAAUAAAGUAUCAUAAUAAAACAUACAUCUAAUGUAAUUAUUACAAAAUAUAACCAAAUGGUGAAAAACUUUAUUAAAAUAAUAAGAAAACAUUGGAACAAUCUGCAGAAAAAAAGAAUGCAGUGAAAUUUUUACUCAAGUGUCUAUUAUAGCAUAUAAACGUAACAAAAAUAUAAAAGAUUUAAUUUACCUUGCGAAACAGUUAGAGGACUUUUGACAAGGGACCCAUGCUUAAACAGUUUUAAGUAAAAAAAAAUCCCGAUACACUGGUAGUAAUGAUCUGAAUUAUAGGCAACAAACUUAUGAAUAUGGGCGAUGUUGAGUCUUGAAAUUUAUUACGAAUGUUGGUUGAAGGAAUCACAUUAUAAUGACAAGAGUUCAUUAAUCUGUUGAAUUAUUCUUCUCAUGAAUAUUCAUUAGUAAUUUGCAUAUUAAUCUCAGUGUGUAUUUUUGAAAUCUCAGUGUGUAAUUAACAAUUUUCAGGGUGUGUUUUUCAAUUUAUUUCUUCUCAGUGUGUCUUUUUAAAAUCUCAGUGUGUAAUUUUGAAUUCUCAGUGUGUGUUUUUUAUUUUUAUAAAUCUCAGUGUGUAAUUUUAGGUUUUUAAAUCUCAGUGUGUAUUUUUUUUUUCGAAAAAAGGGUUUAAACAUAGUUUUGACGAGAACGGCUUCCUAUAACCGUCCCUCUUUAAAACCCUGAACUGUGACUUCACACAAGGCUCAAGAGACUAAUCACCGAUUUUUAAUGUAUAAUGGUAACACGACCGAUGCCGCCCUUAUAAAAUGCUCACAUCGUGCACUUUCGAGUACAUACGAUCACCACUAUUUUUAUUUUAAAUUAUAUCAUAUUGCUCCUCUUUUAUGUUACAGUGUUGUGCUAUGUAAUUUGUAUAUAAGUGUGUUGUUUCUCCUGAUACAAGUUGUGUCUAUCAUUUGUCCUAGAAAAAAGGAUUUACCGUACAAUCAGGUAUAAUGGAUAGCAUAUUUAACGUGACGAAUGGUUAACGAAAUUUGUAAUAUCUAAUUGUUAGAUACGAAACGUUAUUUAUAGGAAUCACGUGACAGGUGACACUAGUGGAGCAGGAAAUGCUUACCCUUACGGAGCACCUGAGAUAAUAUACGGACAUGCAUAGAAUACAGUACUUCACAUUUUAGAAAAAAAUAUAAAUCAUUAAAAGAAACAUAUUUUCUCCGGAAACUUGGACAUUUAAGUUAUGAUGAUGAACAGGGAUGCUGGCUGUUUAACGUCCAUCGACAAAUCAAAAUAAUGGAGAUUCAGGACGAGAGCAUGUUGAGAGCAUGACGUUGAAUACUUAUCCUAUUUUGAAAGACAUUAUUUUGACUCCGAAUGUUAGAAUUGACAUCCCACACUGGAGGCGAACACGUUACCACAAAACCACUAUGGCGGUGACAACAAGCUUAAGUAUCAAUUGUUGGUGCACAGAAUUUCGAAAAUAUAUAUAAUUAAGAAAUGCAAAACUCUUGAUGUUACAUGAUUUUAUGGUUUCAGUGACGACGGUGAAUGGCGUGUGUGACACAGACGUCACUUCCUGUUUUGUUGACCCCUGUCUUGUAACUACAUGCGAUACUCAUCCAUAUGCAAUAUGCAAGUAAGUUACCGUAUUUCGUCACUAGAAGGAACUUUGACCAUCAUAUUUUAAACAUCGUGUUAUCUAAAAUCUGCCAUUCUCCGAACUAAUAUUUUCGAUUUUGUCUUUUUUUUUUCGCGCUCCUAAUUAAUCCCUCUCUUCAAACGUGGUUUUCAUUGCAUAGAAGAUUUUAAACCACGCGGUUCACUGAUAUCAUUAUUUUCCAACUUAAAAGAAAAGCUCAUUACCAGGUUUUACGUAUGCCAUGCACAUACUGAAUACAAACUGAAUGCUUCUUUUUGUAGUUUUAUUUGGAAACAACAGCGUUUGAACUUAAAUGUUCCUAACUAUCGGGUCAAUGUCAUCAUAGCCUUGGUGAAAUACUAGAAAUAACUUGAAGUUUCCGUAAUCAAAUGGCGCUAAAGAGGAUGAAAAUACGAGUAAACUAGUCAUUCCGUUUCCUAAAUAUUUAUAUGUCAAGGAGAGCACAUGUUAUCAUAUAUACUGCCUGAUAUUCAUAUGAUGAAGACAUAACUUUUCAGUCAGUUUAAUUGAAGUCUGGAGCUGGCAUGUCAGUUAACUGCUAGUAGUCUGAUGUGAUUUAUGUAUUAUUGUCAUUUUGUUUAUUUUCUUUGGUUACAUCUUCUGACAUCAGACUCGGACUUCUCUUGAACUUAAUUUUAAUGUGCUAUUCGUUUACUUUUCUGCAUUGGCUAGCUAUAGAGGUAUAGGGGAGAGUUGAUAUCUCACAAACAUGUUUAACCCCGCCGCAUUUUUGUCAGGAGCCUCUGGCCUUUGUUAGUCUUGUAUUAUUUUACCUUUUAGUUUCUUGUGUACAAAUUGGAGUUUAGUAUGGCGUUCAUUAUCACUGAACUAGUAUAUAUAUUUGUUUAGGGGCCAGCUAAAGGACGCCUCCAGGUGUGGGAAUUUCUCGCUGCGUUGAAGACCGGUUGGUGACCUUCUGCUGUUGUCUGCUCUAUGGUCGGGUUGUUGUCUCUUUGACACAUUCCCGAUUUCCAUUCUUAAUUUUAUACUGUGUUUUAAUGAAUUAAUCAACAUUUCAGUAGAGAGUAAGGAUGUUUUGUGAUUAUAGAUUUAUACGAGAGAAAAAAAUCAGCUUCGUGGGUAGGGUGCACACGCACACUACAACAGAAAUCGUCAUUAAUUAUAAUGGGGUACUUACUAGUAGUAUACCAAUUUAUUUCAGAGCAAAUUACUGUAACGGUUGUAAGGCGGAGUUCUAUGAAGGAAAAACGAAAGUUCAAUGGUAAUGUUCAUUUAUUUGUACAAUUUUGAAAGUAAUGAAAUACCAUGCAAUGAUUAUGACAUCUUUCUUUAGUUUUAGUUUAACAUACAUAUAAUUUUAUUUUGGAUGCAACGCGUCUUCUGAUUGGCUGACGUUAUUUUGUUAUUAGCCCAUAAACAUAAUUUAGUCAUGUGACCGUGAUGUCAUCAACGUUUUUUUAUGGUUUUCUACGGUUUAAAAUGGAAUUUAGAAUUAAAUUAUAAGAAAUGACUGUAAUAUUUUUUCUGUUAUUCGAAAUAACAUAAAAAAAUGUGGUUCACACUAUUAAAUAACUCGCUACGCGCGUUAUUCUUUUAUGUUAUUUUUUCAUAGACAGAAAAUAUAUUACAGUCAUUCCUUAAAUAAAACAGAAGAUGAGGUAUGAUUGCCGUUGAGACAACUAUCAGCGAGGGACUAAAUAAAACAGAAAUGAAUAACUAUAGGUCUUCAACAAUGAGCAAAGCCCAUACCGCAUUGUCAGCUAUAAAAGAAUUCAAAAUUACAAAUGUAAAACAGUUCAAACGAGAAGUUACAUGUACCUAAUUAUUAUAAUUGCAUACAAAUUGACAUCGACUUUGUCAAAUUGGCGCUUAAAGUAUCAGAACUAAAACUAACUGUAACAUUUUAACAUCUGUUAACAUACGGAAUCAUUUUUGUGGUGCAGAACGCAAAUGAAAGUUCUGCAUCAUAUUGUAAUUGACAGGUAACAAUGUAUCGUAUGGCGACAGCUACUGUUGAAAUGGUUGCAAAUCUCAAGAGAUCAUUUAUAUAAUGCAUGAUUUUUAUAGAUUAUCGUUGAUAAUCUCAACGAGAUUGAUUUUCUCGCUUGAACCGUACCGGCUCAAGCGAGAAAGCAAUCGAGUUGAGAUGACCAAUGAUAAUUUGUUUAUCGCUAUUUUACCUAUGACGAUGAUGUCAAUUUCAUGUCAAUUUCCUUAGCACCACCACAUGCCUCCUUAGUUUCUAGCGGUAACUUUCCAUCUCAAGCGAGUAGCAUGAUAUGAAAAAUGAUCACAAAAAAAGAUCAAAGGAAAAAUGCACAAAAUAGCGAUAAAUCGCAUUAUAGUAUAAUUAUUUUUAUUAUUUUUUUCAGCUAAGGAUGGUAGCCAAUCACAGAACAUUGUUUGCUAAUAAAAAAAACAGCUUUAAAUAUGAAUAUUGGUAGCUUCUUUACUGUGCAACAUUUUUUUAAUCAUGUAAACUAACGCUCUCCCAUACCACACAGAUACA
rnacentral:lncRNA from 1 species